UCCGCGUCCCUUCGCCCAACUUCAUAUGCUUCAGAAGGUUCCCCAGAACACAUUUGCAUAUAGAGUCUCUACUCUCUUACGCUCCCUUGUCCAUCUCGUAUGGAUGCUACAGCUCCCACAAGUGCUUAUUCUGCUACCACUGCUUCUAACUCCGGAAAUCGUCCUCAAUCAUCAACCCCAGUUCGCUACUUCCGUUGCUCUUGCUUCAGGCGCUGCUGUCGCUGCUUCUGCUGCUUCUACUCCUUCCCUUAAUCACAAAUCAAUUGAGAAAACUCUGAUUCUUGAUCUUUCUGCCUUUAAGCAGCUUUGGUGCUGAAAUUGCUGGGAGUUGGUUUCACUAGUUAAGCCACACUUCGGAGAGGAAGAAUAAUGUUCUUAUUCAAAGUUCUAGUUUUUGAUAUACUGUAUUCAUGCUCAUCUAAUUGCUCAUAUAGCAUUUGAAUUAUGUUGAUAGUGGCACAUUGAAUUCCAGUGAUGCCUUGAGGAUGGUAAAAUGCUGUUUUUGCACCACUUUUGCAUAAUCAGUACCAGAGAAGCUCACUACGCUGCAAGUAUGCGAGGCGUCUCUUGACACAUUGAAUUCCAGUGAUGCCUUGAGGAUGGUAAAAUGCUGAUUUUGCACCACUUUUGCAUAAUCAGUACCAGAGAAGCUCACUACGCUGCAAGUAUGCGAGGCGUCUGCAUCAAGACUACAUAGAUGGCGUAAAAAUUUAUCUAAGCGGCAGGAUUGGCAGUCUUAUGUGUUUCUCUUCCAUUAGACAUCUAAAAAUGUAUUUAAAAAACCAUAUAUAACAUGUAAUCUUGCUUUUUGUGGAUCAGAGAUUACUACCAUUGUAAAGGUUACCUGCUUAGUUUCCUUCUAUGCAUCAUGUAUGAAGUUGUCAGGCCCCAGUUUAGGCAUUUGGCCGUGAUUGAAAUUGUCAACAUGUUAGAUGCAUAGGAUAGCAGCUAUUAUUUUUCAAAUUUGUCCUCCUUCAAUUCACCAUAUAGUUGCUACAAGUUUUCUGUUACACCUACAAGUUGUAAACAAGUCUGCAUAUUCUCUAGAACACGAUGAAUACAAUUACCAAUGAGAAUUUCCUUC